GCAUAAUUUGAAUGCCCCAACUUAACAUGGACUGUUAACAAUGAAUAUAUCUUCAUUAUGAUCUACAUCUCUACUACGACAUAAGUUUUAUGUCAGUUGUGUUUCUUCCAUAGUAUUUCUUUGCUCUCAUAUGUUGUAUUUUGGUGAUUCUUGUCAAUAACUAAGAUUUUCUGGAACUGUGAAUUGUUUCACAACUUCAAUGGAAUGGUGAUUCUAAACCUGCACUUAUAGGUUUUGUUUUCUGGAUGGUAAAGAUGCUAUCUCUUUUUUU
rnacentral:misc_RNA from 1 species